AGCAGCCGCGGUAAUUCCAGCUCCAAUAGCGUAUAUUAAAGUUGUUGCAGUUAAAAAGCUCGUAGUUGAAUUUCGGGAUCAGUACGCUGGUCGUGCCUUCGGUAUGAACUGGUGUCACUGGUUCCUCCCUUCUGAAGAACCGUCAUGCCAUUCAGUUGGUGUGGCGGGGAAUCAGGACUGUUACUUUGAAAAAAUUAGAGUGUUUAAAGCAGGCUCGCGCUUGAAUACAUUAGCAUGGAAUAAUGAAAUAGGACGUUUGACCCUAUUUUGUUGGUUUCUAGGAUCGACGUAAUGAUUAAUAGGGAUAGUUGGGGGCAUUAGUAUUCAAUUGUCAGAGGUGAAAUUCUUGGAUUUAUUGAAGACUAACUACUGCGAAAGCAUUUGCCAAGGAUGUUUUCAUUAAUCAAGAACGAAAGUUAGGGGAUCGAAGACGAUCAGAUACCGUCGUAGUCUUAACCAUAAACUAUGCCGACUAGGGAUCGGAUGAUGUUAAUUUUUUAAUGACUCA
rnacentral:rRNA from 1 species